rnacentral:rRNA from 1 species
UAGUUUGAUCCUGGCUCAGGACAAACGCUGGCGGGGUGCAUGAGACAUGCAAGUCGAACGGGGUGCCAUCGGGCUUGCUCGAUGGCUACCUAGUGGCGGACGGCUGAGUAACGCGUAGGUGACCUACCCGGAAGUGGGGAAUAACUGCCCGAAAGGGUGGCUAAUACCGCAUGUGGUCGGCGAUUCGAUUCGCCGUCCAAAGGAGAAAUCCGCUUCCGGCGGGGCCUGCGUCCGAUUAGCUAGUUGGUGGGGUAACGGCUCACCAAGGCGACGAUCGGUAGCUGGUCUGAGAGGAUGAUCAGCCAGACUGGGACUGAGAACGGCCCAGACUCCUACGGGAGGCAGCAGUCGGGAAUUUUGCCCAAUGGACGAAAGUCUGAGGCAGCAACUCCGCGUGAGGGAUGAAGGCUCUCGGGUCGUAAACCUCUUUUCUCAGGGAAGAUCCAAGACGGUACCUGAGGAAUAAGCGACGGCUAACUACGUGCCAGCAGCCGCGGUAAUACGUAGGUCGCAAGCGUUGUCCGGAUUUACUGGGCGUAAAGAGCGCGCAGGCGGCUGGUCAAGUCCGAUGUGAAAUCUCCCGGCUCAACUGGGAAACUGCAUCGGAAACUGAUCGGCUUGAAGGUGGGAGAGGGUAGUGGAAUUCCCGGUGUAGUGGUGAAAUGCGUAGAUAUCGGGAGGAACACCAGUGGCGAAGGCGACUACCUGGCCCAUUCUUGACGCUGAGGCGCGAAAGCUAGGG